rnacentral:tmRNA from 1 species
GGGGAUGUUUAUAAUCGCCAGUAGAGUGCGUACAUAUCCGCAAACCGAGGCUGUUUUGACCCUCGUUAAUCCCUCAAAACACUUUUUACGUGCAAAUAACGUAAUCACGCGUGUGAAGAAUGUCUUGGCUUCGGCCUUUGGCAGCCUUCAACUCGCGCCAGUUGCUGUAGCCUAAAUACUCCAGCCGCCUUACUUUUCGACUCCUGAUAGAGGAGAUAAGGUGUCAUUUAUCAGGAUGGAUACCAGGUAGGUCCCUGGCCAGGUAUCGAGACUAUGUGGGAAUAUGCCUAAGGCGCCUUGUCUGAUCGCAGGCCUUGGGUAGAAAAUUUUGAUCGGACUACGUUUGAACACGGCUUUGUUACAAACUGUACUACACAGGGGUGUGAAUCCCCUCAUCUCCACAU